rnacentral:lncRNA from 1 species
CGAUUGAAAAUUUUGUGCAGAUUUGCUGGUAUGUUGUCGAGUGAAAGGAAACUUCAACUGGCGGGCAAGAGUAAUGAAAUCCGCAGAGAAGUUCCGAAGGCGAGAAUGAGGGCUUCGUAUCCCAAAUCUGGAAAGGGAAAUUUCGAGUAUCAAAAAUUUUCCAUCAGAUCAGAGAAUCGAGUUCAACGAUGAACAGUCAU